UACGGGGGGAGCAAGCGUUGUUCGGAUUUACUGGGCGUAAAGGGCGCGUAGGCGGCGUGUUAAGUCAGCUGUGAAAUCUCCAAGCUUAGCUUGGAACGGUCAGCUGAUACUGAUGUGCUAGAGUGCAGAAAGGGCAAUCGGAAUUCUUGGUGUAGCGGUGAAAUGCGUAGAUAUCAAGAGGAACACCUGAGGCGAAGGCGGGUUGCUAGGCUGACACUGACGCUGAGGCGCGAAAGCUAGGGUAGCAAACGGG
rnacentral:rRNA from 1 species